GUCUACGGCCGUGCCACCCUGAACACGCCCAACGGCAUCUGAUCUUGGAAGCCAAGCAGGGUUGGCCUUGUUAGUAUUUGGAUUGGGGAGGUUCAGUGUAACCAGAGUCUGCACUUGACC
rnacentral:rRNA from 1 species